GGUGUGGCUCAGCGGUAGAGCGCUAGCCUUGCAUGUGUGAGGCACUGAGUUCAAUCCUCAGCACC
rnacentral:tRNA from 1 species